AACCGCCAACGGUCGCCUCUACCGGUACGGUACGGCCGUUCGAGAUGUCAUAGUGAAACGUGGGCGAUUAUUAUCACGGUUUAUUGUUUCCGUGGCUUACGAUUGCGGAUAUUACUAUCGUGUGGUAUAAAUGUGAUUAUGAUGUCAACAAAUUGAUACAAUCGACAUCAAAAUUUAUAAUUUCUCGAUUUUUUUUCAAUUUUGCUCUAUACUCUAAUCUAAUAUUCGUAUAUUAAAAUGUAAAGUGGGUGUUCGAGCGAGCCGAGCGAUCG